rnacentral:rRNA from 2 species
UGCAAGUCGAACGAACUCUGGUAUUGAUUGGUGCUUGCAUCAUGAUUUACAUUUGAGUGAGUGGCGAACUGGUGAGUAACACGUGGGAAACCUGCCCAGAAGCGGGGGAUAACACCUGGAAACAGAUGCUAAUACCGCAUAACAACUUGGACCGCAUGGUCCGAGUUUGAAAGAUGGCUUCGGCUAUCACUUUUGGAUGGUCCCGCGGCGUAUUAGCUAGAUGGUGGGGUAACGGCUCACCAUGGCAAUGAUACGUAGCCGACCUGAGAGGGUAAUCGGCCACAUUGGGACUGAGACACGGCCCAAACUCCUACGGGAGGCAGCAGUAGGGAAUCUUCCACAAUGGACGAAAGUCUGAUGGAGCAACGCCGCGUGAGUGAAGAAGGGUUUCGGCUCGUAAAACUCUGUUGUUAAAGAAGAACAUAUCUGAGAGUAACUGUUCAGGUAUUGACGGUAUUUAACCAGAAAGCCACGGCUAACUACGUGCCAGCAGCCGCGGUAAUACGUAGGUGGCAAGCGUUGUCCGGAUUUAUUGGGCGUAAAGCGAGCGCAGGCGGUUUUUUAAGUCUGAUGUGAAAGCCUUCGGCUCAACCGAAGAAGUGCAUCGGAAACUGGGAAACUUGAGUGCAGAAGAGGACAGUGGAACUCCAUGUGUAGCGGUGAAAUGCGUAGAUAUAUGGAAGAACACCAGUGGCGAAGGCGGCUGUCUGGUCUGUAACUGACGCUGAGGCUCGAAAGUAUGGGUAGCAAACAGGAUUAGAUACCCUGGUAGUCCAUACCGUAACGAUGAAUGCUAAGUGUUGGAGGGUUUCCGCCCUUCAGUGCUGCAGCUAACGCAUUAAGCAUUCCGCCUGGGGGAGUACGGCCGCAAGGCUGAAACUCAAAGGAAUUGACGGGGGCCCGCACAAGCGGUGGGAGCAUGUGGUUUAAUUCGAAGCUACGCGAAGAACCUUACCAGGUCUUGACAUACUAUGCAAAUCUAAGAGAUUAGACGUUCCCUUCGGGGACAUGGAUACAGGUGGUGCAUGGUUGUCGUCAGCUCGUGUCGUGAGAUGUUGGGUUAAGUCCCGCAACGAGCGCAACCCUUAUUAUCAGUUGCCAGCAUUAAGUUGGGCACUCUGGUGAGACUGCCGGUGACAAACCGGAGGAAGGUGGGGAUGACGUCAAAUCAUCAUGCCCCUUAUGAACCUGGGCUACACACGUGCUACAAUGGAUGGUACAACGAGUUGCGAACUCGCGAGAGUAAGCUAAUCUCUUAAAGCCAUUCUCAGUUCGGAUUGUAGGCUGCAACUCGCCUACAUGAAGUCGGAAUCGCUAGUAAUCGCGGAUCAGCAUGCCGCGGUGAAUACGUUCCCGGGCCUUGUACACACCGCCCGUCACACCAUGAGAGUUUGUAACACCCAAAGUCGGUGGGGUAACCUUUUAGGAACCAGCCGCCU